CCUGUUGUUUGCCUUUUCAGACCAGAUUUGCCUCUCCGAGGUCUUUGUCAACACUGAUUUUUGAUAGGCGGUGAUAUCCCCGCACGUGUUGGCAGAAUUCAAGGUUCAGCUCAGGGAUGUCGACAUGAGCGAGUCCACUGGUCUAGUGAUGUAGAUGUCGGCAAAGACAGGAACGCUUGAAGAAGCUUUGAGUUGGAGUUGUGACAAAAGAAGCGAUGAUGCCACAUUCAGGGUUACGGUUGAGAUACUUUAUGUUGGCACUAUAAACAGCCGGUGCAGUUUUACCUCUAU